CUACGGGAUGCUCCAGUCGAGAAUAGUCUACAAUGGACGAAAGUCUGAUAGUGCGACGCCGCGUGGAUGAAGAAGCAUUUCGGUGUGUAAAGUCCUUUUCUGUGUGAGCAAUGUUUUCCAGGUUAAUAGCUUGGAGAAAGCGAUGUUAACACAGGAAUAAGCUCCGGCUAACUCCGUGCCAGCAGCCGCGGUAACACGGGGGGAGCAAGCGUUGUCCGGAAUUACUAGGCGUAAAGGGUAAGUAGGCGGAAUUGUAAGUCAGAUGUUAAAGGCACCGGCUCAACCGGUGUAUGGCAUUUGAUACUGUAAUUCUAGAGUAAGGUGGGGGAAGACGGAAUUCCUGGUGUAGCGGUGGAAUGCGCAGAUAUCAGGAGGAACACCAGAGGCGCAGGCGGUCUUCUAUACCAUUACUGACGCUCAAUUACGAAGGUGUGGGUAUCAAACAGGAUUAGAUACCCUCGUAGUC
rnacentral:rRNA from 1 species